rnacentral:siRNA from 1 species
UCUGAUGGUGUACCUCCUGAU